rnacentral:rRNA from 1 species
CACGCCGUAAACGAUGAUGACUAACUAUAGCCGUGAGGCUGUGGUGAAGCAAACGCAUUAAGUCAUCCGCCUGGGAAGUACGGUCGCAAGACUGAAACUUAAAGGAAUUGACGGGUCCCCGCACAAGCAGUGGAGCAUGAGGUUUAAUUCGACGCGACGCGAAGAACCUUACCAGAACUUGACAUGGCGGAUAAUGCUGCAGAAAUGCAGAGAUAAUACCAGAACACAGGUGG